AUUGAACGCUGGCGGCAGGCCUAACACGUGCAAGUCGAGCGGAUGAAGGGAGCUUACUCCUGGAUUCAGCGGCGGACGGGUGAGUAAUGCCUAGGAAUCUGCCUGGUAGUGGGGGAUAACGUCCGGAAACGGGCGCUAAUACCGCAUACGUCCUGAGGGAGAAAGUGGGGGAUCUUCGGACCUCACGCUAUCAGAUGAGCCUAGGUCGGAUUAGCUAGUUGGUGGGGUAAAGGCCUACCAAGGCGACGAUCCGUAACUGGUCUGAGAGGAUGAUCAGUCACACUGGAACUGAGACACGGUCCAGACUCCUACGGGAGGCAGCAGUGGGGAAUAUUGGACAAUGGGCGAAAGCCUGAUCCAGCCAUGCCGCGUGUGUGAAGAAGGUCUUCGGAUUGUAAAGCACUUUAAGUUGGGAGGAAGGGCAGUAAGUUAAUACCUUGCUGUUUUGACGUUACCAACAGAAUAAGCACCGGCUAACUUCGUG
rnacentral:rRNA from 1 species